UAACGUUUCAGAGGUCAUACUGCCUCCUUCAUCAGGGCGAUGAAUAUCGUUAUCGCCCUGAUGACGGAGGCAGUAUGACCUCUGAAACGUUGGUUAAUAUC
rnacentral:pre_miRNA from 1 species